UAGGGAAUAGGGUGCCACUUGGGAUACAGCCAACCAGUCAGUCAGAGGAACCUGGGUAUAAAACCAGUGGAACCAGUACGGAAAUACCACCAAACUUCCUGUACACUCCCAGUGGGUGUUUCCAGCGCAGCAUGUGGAGAACAUUAUCUUAAUAACUGGUUUAUUUACUUUCAUAUUGGACGUUCUAGGUGUUCAUUGUAUUCCUCUUUCAUAUUGGACGUUCUAGGUGUUCAUUGUAUUCCUCUUUCAUAUUGGACGUUCUAGGUGGUCAUUGUAUUCCUCUUUCAUAUUGGACGUUCUAGGUGGUCAUUGUAUUCCUCUUUCAUAUUGGACGUUCUAGGUGUGUAUUGUAUUCCUCUUUCAUAUUGGACGUUCUAGGUGUUCAUUGUAUUCCUCUUUCAUAUUGGACGUUCUAGGUGUUCAUUGUAUUCCUCUUUCAUAUUGGACGUUCUAGGUGUUCAUUGUAUUCCUCUUUCAUAUUGGACGUUCUAGGUGGUCAUUGUAUUCCUCUUUCAUAUUGGACGUUCUAGGUGGUCAUUGUAUUCCUCUUUCAUAUUGGACGUUCUAGGUGUGUAUUGUAUUCCUCUUUCAUAUUGGACGUUCUAGGUGUGUAUUGUAUUCCUCUUUCAUAUUGGACGUUCUAGGUGUGUAUUGUAUUCCCCUUUCAUAUUGGACGUUCUAGGUGUGUAUUGUAUUCCUCUUUCAUAUUGGACGUUCUAGGUGUUCAUUGUAUUCCUCUUUCAUAUUGGACGUUCUAGGUGGUCAUUGUAUUCCUCUUUCAUAUUGGACGUUCUAGGUGUGUAUUGUAUUCCUCUUUCAUAUUGGACGUUCUAGGUGUGUAUUGUAUUCCCCUUUCAUAUUGGACGUUCUAGGUGUGUAUUGUAUUCCCCUUUCAUAUUGGACGUUCUAGGUGUGUAUUGUAUUCCUCUUUCAUAUUGGACGUUCUAGGUGUGUAUUGUAUUCCUCUUUCAUAUUGGACGUUCUAGGUGUUCAUUGUAUUCCUCUUUCAUAUUGGACGUUCUAGGUGUUCAUUGUAUUCCUCUUUCAUAUUGGACGUUCUAGGUGUUCAUUGUAUUCCUCUUUCAUAUUGGACGUUCUAGGUGUUCAUUGUAUUCCUCUUUCAUAUUGGACGUUCUAGGUGUAUAUUGUAUUCCUCCAAGGGGUUUUUGAAAUGUCAAUAAACAGAGAAAAACCUUGCUAGUCUGUGUCCUAAUUUAUCCUGAUCUUCCCAGAAA